rnacentral:rRNA from 1 species
CUAAGAAUCUUGCGCAAUGGGCGAAAGCCUGACGCAGCAAUUCCGCGUGGGGGACGAAGGCCCUCGGGUCGUAAACCCCUUUUGCGAGGGAAGAAGUUCUGACGGUACCUCGCGAAUAAGACACGGCUAACUACGUGCCAGCAGCCGCGGUAAUACGUAGGUGUCGAGCGUUGUCCGGAUGUAUUGGGCGUAAAGAGCCCGCAGGCGGCUUGCCAAGUUCGAGGUGAAAUCUCCCGGCUCAACCGGGAGGGUGCCUCGAAAACUGGCAGGCUUGAGGCAGGGAGAGGGAUGUGGAAUUCCCGGUGUAGUGGUGAAAUGCGUAGAUAUCGGGAGGAACACCAGUGGCGAAGGCGGCAUCCUGGCCCUGUCCUGACGCUCAGGGGCGAAAGCGUGGGG